rnacentral:lncRNA from 1 species
GCAGGAGGAGGAAGGGAACUUGGGUACUCCGGUGGUGGCAGGAGCGAAUCUUUGUCUACUGAGCCCUACCAUCUUGCUGAAGCAAACCAGGGCUCGUUCUAGGGCCUGCUGCUCCUCUGAUGUCUGGAAGCUUCAAGAACUGCUUCUACAUUCUAGAGAUGAGGCAGAGGGCAACGCUUCAGUCAAGCUGGUUGAGACUUCAUCAGAAAUCAUCUCCAUCAACAAAGGCUCUUUAUCUGCUUCCCCCAAUUCUUUCUUCCAACUGCUUUUAUUUCCUUUAGGGUUGAAACCCAUAAACUCCAGCAACAUUAAGAGACUUGACUUUUUGACUUGAAAAGGAUGAUUAUGAGCCAGUGUCAGCAUUUUCAAAGACCAGGUCUCCAAUUUAGCCUUGAGCUCUGAGGACACUCGUAGCUGCAUGGCGGAGCUCCACAGGAAGCUUCAGGGUUGAACACAACAGCAUUUUAAGUUGAGAAAGCUUUGAAGAUCAAGAUUUUUUUUAAAAAAACAAUCCCACUGAGAGUCAUCCAUUUAUGAAUUGUGAUCAAAGAACACUGAACUGGGAGUUGGGAGAGCUAGAUUCUGGUCUUCUCUCUGCCACUACCUAUCAGCGUGGCAAGUCUCUUAACCUCUUGGAGCCUCAGUUUCUUCAUUGGUAAAAUGAGGGUGACAGAACAGAUUAGUGGGGCCCAGAUGCUGGUCAGUGGAUGAGAUGCAUUCGAAUCCCCGGAAACUUUGAAAACUUGGCAAGCAGAACUCUUAGAGAUUUUGAUUUGUAAGACGGGAGUUAUGUAGGAAUCUUUAGUUUGUGAAGCUCUCCUGGGGAUUCAGAUAUACAUCUAACAUUGGGAACCAUGGUCCAGGUGAUUUUUAUUUUGUUCUGUUGUAUUUAAUUAAUUAAUUUAAUUAAUGAAUUAAUUUUUGUGAGGCAGAUUGGUCCU